GACGUAGGAUGCAAGCGUUGUCCGGAAUUAUUGGGCGUAAAGAGUUCGUAGGUGGUAUGUUAAGUCUGGUGUUAAAUCCCGAAGCUCAACUUCGGAUCAGCACUGGAUACUGACAAACUAGAGUGCAGUAGAGGCAAGGGGAAUUCCUAGUGUAGCGGUGAAAUGCGUAGAUAUUAGGAGGAACACCGGUGGCGUAAGCGCCUUGCUGGGCUGUAACUGACGCUGAGGAACGAAAGCCAGGGGAGCAAAUGGG
rnacentral:rRNA from 1 species